rnacentral:rRNA from 1 species
UACGGAAGAUGCGAGCGUUAUCCGGAUUUAUUGGGUUUAAAGGGAGCGUAGGCGGGCUUUUAAGUCAGCGGUCAAAUGCCACGGCUCAACCGUGGCCAGCCGUUGAAACUGCAAGCCUUGAGUCUGCACAGGGCACAUGGAAUUCGUGGUGUAGCGGUGAAAUGCUUAGAUAUCACGAAGAACUCCGAUCGCGAAGGCAUUGUGCCGGGGCAUAACUGACGCUGAGGCUCGAAAGUGCGGGUAUCAAACAGG